CGCAGCCGCGGUAAUUCCAGCUCCAAUAGCGUAUAUUAAAGUUGUUGCAGUUAAAAAGCUCGUAGUUGAAUUUCGGGAUCGACGGGUCGGUCGCGCCUCUGGUGUGUACUGGCCCUGUCGGUUUCUCCCUUCUGACGAACCACGAUGUCAUUAAUUUGGUGUCGUGGGAAAUCAGGACUGUUACUUUGAAAAAAUUAGAGUGUUUAAAGCAGGCAUUCGCUUGAAUACAUUAGCAUGGAAUAAUGAAAUAGGACGUUUGAUCUUAUUUUGUUGGUUUCUAAGAUCGACGUAAUGAUUAAUAGGGAUAGUUGGGGGCAUUAGUAUUCAAUUGUCAGAGGUGAAAUUCUUGGAUUUAUUGAAGACUAACUACUGCGAAAGCAUUUGCCAAGGAUGUUUUCAUUAAUCAAGAACGAAAGUUAGGGGAUCGAAGACGAUCAGAUACCGUCGUAGUCUUAACCAUAAACUAUGCCGACUAGGGAUCGGAUGAUGUUUAAUUUUUAAUGACUCAUUCGGCGCCUUA
rnacentral:rRNA from 1 species